rnacentral:lncRNA from 1 species
GUUGUAGGGAGUGCCGGCAUCGGAGCAGAGGCAGAAGGUUGAUAAGGAUAAGCCAUGAUGAUGAUAGAUCAGAGAUUUGUUUGUUUGAUAUAAAUAUCUAUGUGAGGAUAAACAAUAAUGGAAUUGGGAUCGAAUUAAACUUUGUUAUAUAAUAAUUUGAAUUUGAUUAAUUGAUUUUUAUAAUGAUAGUUAGGGAAGAAGAAGAUUAGUAUGGAGGUUCUUUAAUGUUGGAAAUUAGACGUGUAUUAGAUUUCUUAUGGUUUAAGUUAAGAUAUUGUCAUUUUCCUUUUUGUGUGCGUGUGUGUAAACUAGCAUGUGCACGCGUACCGUAUGGAACAGUGGUGAUGAUGAUGAUUAGGAAGAAACAGAAAUGGUCAACAAAAUAUUUAUUUUUUUAUGUUUUCC